rnacentral:rRNA from 1 species
GAACCUGCGGAAGGAUCAUUACCGAGUUUUCGAGCUCCGGCUCGACUCUCCCACCCUUUGUGAACGUACCUCUGUUGCUUUGGCGGCUCCGGCCGCCAAAGGACCUUCAAACUCCAGUCAGUAAACGCAGACGUCUGAUAAACAAGUUAAUAAACUAAAACUUUCAACAACGGAUCUCUUGGUUCUGGCAUCGAUGAAGAACGCAGCGAAAUGCGAUAAGUAAUGUGAAUUGCAGAAUUCAGUGAAUCAUCGAAUCUUUGAACGCACAUUGCGCCCCUUGGUAUUCCGGGGGGCAUGCCUGUUCGAGCGUCAUUACAACCCUCAAGCUCUGCUUGGAAUUGGGCACCGUCCUCACUGCGGACGCGCCUCAAAGACCUCGGCGGUGGCUGUUCAGCCCUCAAGCGUAGUAGAAUACACCUCGCUUUGGAGCGGUUGGCGUCGCCCGCCGGACGAACCUUCUGAACUUUUCUCAAGGUUGACCUCGGAUCAGGUAGGGAUACCCGCUGAACUUAAGCAUAUCAAUA